rnacentral:rRNA from 1 species
UCUAUGCCGUAAACUUUGUACACUUGGUGUCGGGGGUCAAACCUCGGUACCGAAGCUAACGCGAUAAGUGUACCGCCUGGGGAGUAUGCCGGCAACGGUGAAACUCAAAGGAAUUGACGGGGGCCCGCACAAGCGGUGGAGCAUGUGGUUUUAAUUCGAUUAUACGCGAGGAACCUUACCAGGGUUUUGACAUAUUAGUGACCG